UACAGAGGGUGCAAGCGUUGUUCGGAAUUACUGGGCGUAAAGCGCGUGUAGGCGGUUAUGCAAGUCGGGUGUGAAAGCCCGGAGCUCAACUCCGGAAGUGCAUUCGAUACUGCGUAGCUAGAGUACUGGAGAGGAUGGUGGAACUCUCGGUGUAGAGGUGAAAUUCGUAGAUAUCGGGAGGAACACCAGUGGCGAAGGCGGCGACCUGGGCCAAUACUGACGCUGAGGUGCGAAAGCGUGGGGAGCAAACAGG
rnacentral:rRNA from 1 species